rnacentral:lncRNA from 1 species
UGGUCAAUUUUGGAUGUUGUGUUAGUUUCAGGGUACAGCAAAGCGAUUCAGUUAUGCACAUGCAGACAUUUUUUUCUCGGAUUCUUUUCCCUUACAGGUUAUUGUAAGAUAGUGAGUCGAGGGAGUUCCCGUUGUGGCUCAGCGGGUUAAGAAUCUGACUAGUAUCCACGAGGAUGUAGGUUCGACCCCUGGCCCCACUCAGUGGGUUAAGGAUCUGGGGUUGCCAUGGCUGUGGUAUAGGCUGCAGAUGUGGCUCAGAUAUGGUGUUGCUGUGGCUGUGGUGUAGGCUGGCACCUGCAGCUCCAAUUCGACCCCUAGCCUGGGAACUUCCAUAUGCCACGGUAAAAAAAAAAAAAAAAAAAUCUAAGUUUAGAAUCUAUUUCUUCUACCCUCUUCCCGAAUUCAGAAGCCUUCAUGCAUGGCCAGCAAUUGGGCGACAGAAGCAACACCUCCAUCUUUUUAAAAAAUGUAGAAACUGCCCCGCAGCAACUCCCAAAGUGCUGACCUUUUAUCAGUAUAAAGUGAAGAGACUGAGGAGCCCAGAAAUCCUUUUUGUCUCCCCAUUAUUUUCCAAGAUUUUUUUCAUUAAAAAAAAAAGAUGAAUACAAAGUUCCCAUAUGAACUCAGGUUUUUUAUUUAUUUUUUUCCUCAGCAGGGCAAGAUGUCAUAAAGAACUCAGUAUCUCUUCUUGCUUUCUUAGCCGUGACGUUAUCUCACCACGCCAGCAUCGUUUUAUGUGGACAUGUAAUAAGUCAAAAUUAAAACGGUACAUGGAAGAAUCCACUUGUAAAACCAUAACACUCCAAAGAGUGUGCCUGACAUACUGAGGUUUCUACAAGGGCCCCUGCACUUCUUUUAAAAGCUAUACGGUAUUUAGACCCAAGAAAUUAAAAUUAUGCUAAUUCUCGCAGACAUACCCAUUGUUUACAACACAUACAUAUCAACUUACCAACAAGAACUGAAAAACUACUGUUGACUUUCCCACUAAGGACACAUCCCAGGGACUGCACUUUUUUUUUUUUUUUUUUUUUUUGGCCACACUUGCAGUGUAUGGAAGUUCCUGGGUCAGGGAUUGAACCCGAGCCACAGCUGCAACCUACGCCACAGCUGCCACAAUAUUGGAUCCUUUAAGCUACUGUGCCUGGCUGGGGAUUGUCCCCUCGCCUCCGCGUCGACCUGAGAUGCUAUAGUCAGAUUCUUAACCCACUGGGCCAAGGCGGGAACUUCCCGUUGUUGUUUUAUUUAGAAAAAUCUCUCCUUCCUACCUGGUGGGGAGACAAGAACUACAACUCUAGAUGCAAACAGAGAGAAAAAUGUGUGCUAGAGCAGCAUAGGAUUCCCUGAUACCCAAAUAUCUCUUCUGUCCUGGCUUCAGAGAGGCUGCCACGUGGUUUCUAGGCUAAUGGGACAUUCUCCCCGAAGAACUUACAUCCUGAGCUCAGUUCUGCUCACAACAGCCCCAUUUCUCAACCAGGAUGAAUUUUAAUGCACUAAAUUCUCAUACAAAUUAUUUAAAAAAAUAAAUAAUUUCACGUUUCACAGCUAGGUUCAGGGGACAACAGAAUGUAAAUUCCAACAUCAGGUUCCUUAAACCAUAGCUCCAUUUCUUAGUAGCUUCAGGACUUUGGGAAUUGACCCCGUGCACCCCAACCUUAAACAGUUCAGCCAAAGUCAAGUUAAGCGUGUCUGAGAAAGGCAAAGGGAGGAUAAAUGCAUCCACGACUUGGUCGCAGUGUUUUGCCUCGGGCAGUCAAUGCAAUAAUCACAGAAAAAGAAGACAACGCCAAACUCCACAUGGGCUCCUUAGCUGGACCAAAUUAGUGAGAAAAGUUCUCAAUUUCCAUUUCAUUCUGUGAUGGUCAAAGCACGCAGCUGUCCUGUAACCCAACCUCAGAGGAUCCCGGAGCCAAAACGUCCAACACCAGAGAAGCACAAUAACUGUUGAAGCCACCACUGCUGUGGGGUGAAGGUCAGAGUAGGGGUGAGAAGGAAACUGGAGGCAAUUGCAGACAUCAUUAUUUUCCAAGCUAGGCAGUGAAAAUGUGUCUGUCUUAACACCUCUGAGGCUUGAGUAUCAUGGAUCACAGCUAUGAAACAAAACUGCAGCAAAUUUUUAUAAUUUUGAACGCCUGCAAACGUUCAAAACUUUCUGAUAUGACCCAAAUUCAAAUAGGAAAGGACAUUCACGGAACAUUCGAUUAUCAGUAAACUAGAAGAAACAAAUUACACACUUUUGGAGGUCGUUGACUACCCUCCCCAAAGUAGAAAUUACAUAAAACUUCAGGGAAAUUACCCCUGAUCAUUUAUCAUCUCAUCUUUCUCUUGGCAGAGCUCAAAACCCGGUUUCUAAAAAACCAGCUUCAAACGUGGAAGAAAUGUAUAACAGAGCCCAUGUGGAGAUGAUAUUCUAGUGGGCAUCGGGCCGAACCAGGACUUCUUGGUACCCAUUGUGCAGUCCACAACCUUUACCCCACGAUGUCCCCGUGCACAUCCAGGGGGUGGGGGCGGGUGGGUGUUGUCAGUAGAAUCUUACAACUUCCUCCUUUGCAGGCCUCCCCAAAUCCACACAUCUUUAUUUAUAAUUGAACAGAAAAGGCUCAUGUCCAUCGGGGAGCAAAAUACAGGAAAACAUUUGAAAUGCUACAGUCAGGUUUUUCUGCAGCCCUUACAUAACAGUAGGUGACUUAUUUUCAAUGUUUUACUCUGUUUCUCUUCCUCGGCAAAUUACAUUUCUUUUACAAAAGCCUGUCUGCUCUAAAUUAAACUGAAGAUGCUUGAAAUUCAGGUUAAACAUGUACAACUCCAGACAGAGGCGAGAAAACACACGCAGAAAUGCGCUAGAAAUUUCCAAACCAUUUUUAAAAUGGUAAUUAAUUGCCUUAUCUCUAACAACCUGAGAUAAUUAGCAGUAUGAUUCUAAUUUAAUGAAGCAGGAUGCACAAUUUAUCAAUGUGUUUUCAGUCUGGAUCUCUUUGAAUAUCACUUUAAUUUGCUGCCCUACACACAACUCCGCACGAAGGAGGAGAAAAAAAAGAUCACUUUUUCAGGCUAAAAGUGGGGCUCGCAUCGGGGGGUCCCUGGCUCUUUCUAGUUUCCAUUAAAAGCACUGGAGGACAUUUCAGAGUGCCUCUGAGAAGUCAGCUUAUCAAGAUCGAUUCCUCAUUUUCAUUUCUCCUGAAGAUUCUAAAUUAAGCAUUUUUUCCCACUCGGUCUAAGGCGCUGCCUCCCGAGCUGUGUCCCUUGCUCCAAGUUUGCCAGAGAGAAUCCGAUGGCACAACAUCAGUGGACCCCAACCGAUGCAUCAGUGUUCAUGGUGGAACCCCUAGCUUUAGAAAAGGACUCCCAUCCAAGCCACACCGUUCAAUUUUAGACAGUUUCAAACUACCAGAAAAAAGCCCGAGAGUGCCAAUGUUUGCACGUGAACUCCAAAACAGAGCAUACAAGUCUAGGCCGGGCAGCGUCAGGUCAUUUACCAAUUCUCCACGCGGCUCUGAGCUGUUUCAGAAGCGUCUCGGCCCGAACCCCACACGUGCGAGACAGAACAGAGGAAGAGGCCGAGAGAUGGAGGCAGAGACAGAGCCGGAGGGCGAGGAAGGAACAGGAAGGGACCAAGGACCAGAGCCGGGACCCCUUCCCGCUGCACCUGCUCGCCUCCCGCCCAGAAGCUCGGCCCCCUCGGCCCGGCCAUGAGAGCUAACUUUUGGCGCGAAGAUGGCAGGAAGAGAGUCAGAUUUCCUUCAGCAGUGAGCUGAUUGCUGAAGACGAAUGAAUCAUUGCACAGCAGGAUGAGAAACCGUGAAGACGGCGCUUUUCCCCUAAUUAGGGACCAUUUUCAGCAAUUCGUUAGGCCGUGGCCCUGCGCCACGAGCCAUCAGGGCGUGGAGCAGGGGACCCCGAAAGCAGGCAGAGCAAAGGGACGGUAAUGAGGCUCUCCAUCA